UGUGUUUCAGUUGCUGAAGCGUAUUUAUGGAAAUGUCCUUGUGGCACCAGAAGACGGGUACAAUAUUUCACUGCUCUUUGACCUGGAGGCUCUUCCACCC